rnacentral:misc_RNA from 1 species
GAUGAAGAACGCAGCGAAAUGCGAUACGUAAUGUGAAUUGCAGAAUUCAGUGAAUCAUCGAAUCUUUGAACGCAUAUUGCGCUCUUUGGUAUUCCGAAGAGCAUGCUUGUUUGAGUAUCAGUAAACACCUCAAAGACUUCAAUUUGUUUUGAAUGGCUUUGGACUUGAGCAAUCCCAACACCAGUCUUUACGAUCGGUGGAGGGUUGCUUGAAAUGCAGGUGCAGCUGGACAUUCUCCUGAGCUAAAAGCAUAUUUAUUUAGUCCCGUCAAACGGAUUAUUACUUUUGCUGCAGCUAACAUAAAGGGAGUUUGACCGUAUUGGCUGACUGAUGCAGGAUUUCACAAGGGUCGGCAACGAUUCUUGUAAAACUCGAUCUCAAAUCAAGUAAGACUACCCGCUGAACUUAAGCAUAUCAAUAAGCGAGGA